rnacentral:rRNA from 1 species
CCUACGGGAGGCAGCAGUAGGGAAUAUUGCACAAUGGGCGAAAGCCUGACGCAGCAACGCCGCGUGGGUGAAGAAGGUCUUCGGAUCGUAAAACCCUGUUGUGAGAGACGAAAGUGCGUGAGAGUAACUGUUCACGUUUCGACGGUAUCUAACCAGAAAGCCACGGCUAACUACGUGCCAGCAGCCGCGGUAAUACGUAGGUGGCAAGCGUUAUCCGGAUUUAUUGGGCGUAAAGGGAACGCAGGCGGUCUUUUAAGUCGGAUGUGAAAGCCUUGGGCUUAACGGGGGUAGUGCAUUGGAAACUGGGAGACUUGAGUGCAGAAGAGGAGAGUGGAACUCCAGGUGUAGCGGUGAAAUGCGUAGAUAUAUGGAAGAACACCAGUGGCGAAGGCGGCUCUCUGGUCUGUAACUGACGCUGAGGUUCGAAAGCGUGGGUAGCAAACAGGAUUAGAUACCCUUGUAGUC